AUAGGGCGGACCUUGAAACCGACUGCCGGGAGGUUGAACAGUACGCUGGCUUUCGCCAGCCGCUUUUGGCUUUUUUCUUGACCAAUUAGCUGGCUGGUAAUGGGCUGCUUCUUCCUCCCAGUCUGUUUCCUCAGAGGAGGAUUCUUCACUUGCUUCAGAGCUACUAAGAGCUGGCUUCCUGAGCUCAUCUAGUGACGAGUAUCUCCUAGAGACCUCCGCUAAUCGAUCUUUUUUCUUCUCCCUUUUUCCUCUUUUUCUUCUAAUCUCUCUCCAGGUAUUCCUACCUAACCUUAACUUUUCCUCGGGUUCAAGACCCUUGGAAAGGCCUGUAUACUUAUUUUGUGUACCAUACUUCCUCUUUGUUCCUACUCUUUCUUCCCGCUUUACUUCUGAUAGCUUGUCCUGAAUUUCCUCUAGAAUUUUCAGCCCUAUCUUAAUCACUUGAUAGCAUGUGAAAAAGAACAAAAGGGCUCCUAACACCAGAAAAAAUUCAAGGCCAAACAUACUCACUGGUACUCUCGUUCCCCAGCUGAAAAGUUCUGAAUUCAUACAGUUGAAUCCUUCUUAACAGUCUGCUUUACGGGAACCUUUAUCACCGUCGUUCCCCAGCUGAUGAGUUCUGAAUUCGGCAGUUGAAUCCUUCUCAACAGUCUAUGUUACGGGAACCUUUAUAAACGUGAUCCGCAGUUCUGGUUCUGAAAUGAAGUAUCCCUCCUGCGCCAGUCCGGAGUUUUUUCUCGUCUCGGGUUUUCGGCACCAAUUGUUAUUCGACGCGUUCUCACGACCGGCCAGGAAGAACACAACAACCAGAAUCUUCUACGGCAAAGCUUUAUUGCUUACAUCUUAUGGGGCCAGAGUGUAAGAAGCAAGAGCGAGAGAAAACGAAACCCCUUUCCUCUUUAAAGAGAACAACAAUUGCCUAGGACGCAUCACUCCCUGAUUGGCUGCAGCCCAUGGCCGAGCUGACGUUCACGGGAAAAACAGAGUACAAGUAGUCGUAAAUACCCUUGGCUCAUGCGCAGAUUAUUUGUUUACCAACUUAGAACACAGGAUGUCAGCGCCAUCUUGUGACGGCGAAUGUGGGGGCGGCUUCCCACAAAAAUACAUUUAAUUGAAUG
rnacentral:lncRNA from 1 species